rnacentral:tRNA from 1 species
CGGAGAUUAGUAUACCGGUAGUACGCACGCUUCGGGUGCGUGAAGACCGGGUUCGAUUCCCGGAUCUCCGA